GACGAACGCUGGCGGCGUGCCUAAUACAUGCAAGUAGAACGCUGAAGAGAGGAGCUUGCUCUUCUUGGAUGAGUUGCGAACGGGUGAGUAACGCGUAGGUAACCUGCCUUGUAGCGGGGGAUAACUAUUGGAAACGAUAGCUAAUACCGCAUAACAAUGGAUGACACAUGUCAUUUAUUUGAAAGGGGCAAUUGCUCCACUACAAGAUGGACCUGCGUUGUAUUAGCUAGUAGGUGAGGUAACGGCUCACCUAGGCGACGAUACAUAGCCGACCUGAGAGGGUGAUCGGCCACACUGGGACUGAGACACGGCCCAGACUCCUACGGGAGGCAGCAGUAGGGAAUCUUCGGCAAUGGGGGCAACCCUGACCGAGCAACGCCGCGUGAGUGAAGAAGGUUUUCGGAUCGUAAAGCUCUGUUGUAAGUCAAGAACGAGUGUGAGAGUGGAAAGUUCACACUGUGACGGUAGCUUACCAGAAAGGGACGGCUAACUACGUGCCAGCAGCCGCGGUAAUACGUAGGUCCCGAGCGUUGUCCGGAUUUAUUGGGCGUAAAGCGAGCGCAGGCGGUUUGAUAAGUCUGAAGUUAAAGGCUGUGGCUCAACCAUAGUUCGCUUUGGAAACUGUCAAACUUGAGUGCAGAAGGGGAGAGUGGAAUUCCAUGUGUAGCGGUGAAAUGCGUAGAUAUAUGGAGGAACACCGGUGGCGAAAGCGGCUCUCUGGUCUGUAACUGACGCUGAGGCUCGAAAGCGUGGGGAGCGAACAGGAUUAGAUACCCUGGUAGUCCACGCCGUAAACGAUGAGUGCUAGGUGUUGGAUCCUUUCCGGGAUUCAGUGCCGCAGCUAACGCAUUAAGCACUCCGCCUGGGGAGUACGACCGCAAGGUUGAAACUCAAAGGAAUUGACGGGGGCCCGCACAAGCGGUGGAGCAUGUGGUUUAAUUCGAAGCAACGCGAAGAACCUUACCAGGUCUUGACAUCCCGAUGCUAUUUCUAGAGAUAGGAAGUUACUUCGGUACAUCGGUGACAGGUGGUGCAUGGUUGUCGUCAGCUCGUGUCGUGAGAUGUUGGGUUAAGUCCCGCAACGAGCGCAACCCCUAUUGUUAGUUGCCAUCAUUCAGUUGGGCACUCUAGCGAGACUGCCGGUAAUAAACCGGAGGAAGGUGGGGAUGACGUCAAAUCAUCUUGCCCCUUAUGACCUGGGCUACACACGUGCUACAAUGGUUGGUACAACGAGUUGCGAGUCGGUGACGGCAAGCUAAUCUCUUAAAGCCAAUCUCAGUUCGGAUUGUAGGCUGCAACUCGCCUACAUGAAGUCGGAAUCGCUAGUAAUCGCGGAUCAGCACGCCGCGGUGAAUACGUUCCCGGGCCU
rnacentral:rRNA from 1 species